AUCACUUCAGACCAGCCUGGGCAAUACAGUCAGACUUCUUCUCUCCUCCUCCUCCUCCUCCUACCACUACUACUACUACUAAAAAUGAGCCAGGUGCGGUCGUGUGUGCCUGCAGUCCCCGCUACUUGGGAGGCUGAGGUGGACUAAUCAUUUGAUCCAAGGAGAUCUAGGCUGCAGUGAGCUGUGAUGGUGCCCCUGCACUCCAGGUGAGACUCUGUCUCAAAAAAAAAAAAAAAGAAAGAAAAAGCAAAUGACCUUACUUGUAAUUUAUUAAUAAGGGUCAAUUAUUAUUAUAAACUUAUUUUAAAUAUAUCAAUAUAUUUGCCUAAUUAAUAGAUUAAAUAAUAUAUAAUUAAUUAAUAUAGUAAUAUGUAUACCAUCCAUACGUUCAUUGUAAGUGUUAAGUUAUUAAUUGAUUCGUGAAAUGUGGACUGAAGACUCUGGAGACGUCCCUCCUUACAGUUAAACCCGGUGCUCUCUCUCUAGCAGGGACUGUGCCUCUGUGACCCUGCGGCUGGAAUAACCCUGCAAGAGUGGAAAGAAGUCAGAAGGAGCUCGGCUCGCUGAGCACCCGGGCUGUGCCCCUGAACUUCUUACUUGAAGAAAGCCCCUAAUAUGUCCACUCCAGUGUUAGGAGAAUUUGGAGCAUAUGAUGGUGGCUCCCCUGCUUCUGCACACCCCUAACCCGGAAUUGGAGGGGAUAAUUUGCGUCACUACAAAAAGCUAUCAUGGGCGGAUGGUUCUCUUGACCACUCAAAAUAGGUUUUCAAUUCCAUUUUCCGGCAGAGCAGCUGGAGUCUCUGGAAUUUCUACGUCCCGUGCCUCUGCCUUCCACCUAGCACAGGACAGGACCCCCGAGGGCGGUGGCCCUGCAGACAGCCCUUCUCUAGGACUGGGCACCUGCCUAGGGAGCCUGAGAUGAGGUCGGCCUUGGCUCAUCACCUGGAGAGAGUGGAUCUGGGAGGCCCGGGCAGCGCUACGCAGGGCCCAGCCUGGGUGGAGCCCCCGAGGCGGGGACGGUGGAGCCUCGCGGACCCUGGCUGGGGACGGGGCAAAUCCAGGCAUGGGGCGCUCCAGGUGAGACGAGGAGUCCUCACCCCAGUGAACUGUGAGGCCAAGGGACCCUGGGACAGGGCGGGCUCUGGCCACUAAACAGCAAAGAAGGCAGAGACAUCCUGUGCCGUUCCAUGUGGGAGCCUCAGACUCUCAGGAGUCCUGGCGAGCCCCAGGGUCUUUGGCCACGUUUGGAUGGGUCGGGUGGGGCCAGGAUCCAGCAUUUCCCCAGGGCUCUGAGGAGAGAAGGGAACGGGAAGGUUCUGGUCAUGUCGGAGGAGUGUGGAAAGUUCCUUUUCCAGUAGAAAUAUCAAGUCUCACAUUUACGUUUAGGCAGCUGACAAACUUUGAAAAGCUUUGAACUUUUGUUUGGCAUUGAAUCCACAUCAUCUGUCGCCCAUGUAAACACAGCAGAAUUCCAUAAGGACUGGGUGGUGAACCCCCACUCUCUACGGAGCUCCAGCCCCAUGCUGUCUCUUGCUUGGUUUCUGACAUUAACAACGGAGUAGAACAUGUUGUCAUUUAUUUGUUGACAUCGCGGAUGAAGGAGUAGAAUCCAUUUUGCGGGGAAAGAUGUAGAGAUAUUGAUUGGAUGUAGCCACAGGGGAUCACUGGGUGCCUUAAAGAGAGCGGUUGCAACUUCGUGCUGGGGUAGAAGAGACUUGAGUGAGGUGAGGACUGAGUUGCAGGUGGGGGUGAGGAAAUGGAGAGAGCAAAGUAGCAGUUUUAAGGAAGUUUCUGGUAGGGAGAAAGAGUUACAUGAGUAAUGACAGGGAUAUAGAGCGCUGGUUUUUUUGUUUGUUUGUUUGUUUGUUUGUUUUUGAGAUGGAGUCUUGCUCUGUCGCCCAUGCUGGAGGGCAGUGGUGCGAUCUCGGCUUACUGUAAACUCCGCCUCCUGGGUUCAAGCAAUUCUCCUGUCUCAGAGUAGCUGGGAUUACAGGCGCCCACCACCACGCCUGGCUAAUUUAUGUAUUUUUUAGUAGAGACGGGGUUUCACCAUGUUAGCCAGGCUGGUCUUGACCUCCUGACCUCAGGUGAUCCGUCCGCCUCGGCCUCCCAAAAUGCUGGGAUUGUAGGCGUGAGAACCACCGCGCCUGGCCAGAUGGAAGAUUUUAAAGCAAUUUUUAAUGCUGAUGAGUAUACACAGAAGAUAGAUUAAAUAUACAGUAGAAAGGAGAUAAUUUAUAGACCGGGGUGCCUAAUGAUUGAGAGGUAGCAUGGAUGAGUUCCAUGGUACCUGGGGAGAAGCUGAGCUGAAACAAAACUGAGGCACCUGCUCCUGGUUAACAGGAGAGGAGAAAAUGGUGAAUGAAAUGCAGGUGAGUUUGUAGAAUGGCAGUGCAAAUCGGAGCUAGAUCAAUGGCUAAUCUCUCAAAGAAGUUAGAAACAGGGGCUUCUGUUGAAAAAUACACAGCUUUCAGAAGUGAAAAUAUUUGAAAUAAUCAUUGCAGAGAAUAGGAAAAUGAAUUAAUUAUAGCUUGCAGACUUUAGUAGAUUGGAAGAGAAUGAAGUCUCUUUCUUUUCUGCUUUGUUUUAAUCUAGAGAUAUUUUUCUCCUGAACAUUUCUAUAUUUAUUGUAAAAAUAUACUAUCUUUUUAAUUUACAGAAUUUUAGAAAUGAUUGUGAAUGAAAAUAUAAAAAAUCUUUCCUCUGAAUAUGAGGUAGCCUAUCUGUCUACUACGUAUUGUUUUUCCCAUUUGCCAUUUCUAUAACAAGCUGGUAGAAUUUGAUAUAUACAGUGAUUUCGAAAAGAAAUACAUAUGUCUUUGUUUGCUGUUGCUUAUUAUGGAAUACCUGAACCUGGGUAGUUUAUAAAGAAAAGGGGCCAAGUGCAUGGUGAGGGGCGCACGCGGCCUCUCUUCUUAAAAAGCCCCCAAUCCCAUUCCCGCGAAAACCCAAUGAAUUAAUUAAUUUAUGAGCCCUUAUGAUCUAUCAUCACUUAAAGCCCCCACCUCUCUAUACUGCCAGAUGGGAAAUUACAUUUCAACAGGGGUUUUGGAGGAGACAAAUAUUCAAACCACAGCAAUAUAAUGAACAAAAAUUAAACAAAAGAAUAAACUAUUAUGGUUUAGCAACCCUCCUUUUGCCUUAGAAUGAAAAUGACUGGAAAAGUUUUUUUGAUUCAUGUAAUUCAAUGUAAAAAAUAAUGAAUAAAAAGACAGUGAAAGAUAAUAAAAACGAGCUGCAUUUCUGAACAACUUUAUAAAAGCAUGACUUUAUAUUUCAGAAGUAUUGUAUUGUAACUUUCAUGUGUCUUCCACUUUUUAUUUUACUAGAAACAGUCACAAUGAUUGGUUUAUUAUUUGGUUCAGGUGCCAAGGAAAUUUAAAUUCAUAUUAAUCCAUUAAUCUAUCUUUCACUUAUUAUUUGUAAGAUGUAAAAGAAUUCUGCAUAUGCUUUUUUUGUUGGGUAUACAUAUUAAAACACAUUUUCACUCUGAUCUGCAUUUCUACUUUCUGAUAUUGAAUUGUUCAUUAUUUUAAUGUAAUUUAUCACUAUCUUCUUUUAUAGUUUUUUUGUGUUCUGUUUGGAAAGUUUUGCCUGUUCUUAAGCUAAAAGAUAUUCUUGUAUAUUACCUUUUAGAAGCUUUAUUGUUCUUUUAUGAAUUAGAUAUAAAAUUCACUCCAAAGGGAUUUUUGUCCAUUGUAUAAAGUGGGGGUCAACAUAUUAUUUUUACUGUGAAUAUCCACUUUAGCUAUUAUAAUUUAUUCAAAAUCAUAAAUAAAUCAUGAUAUUCUUUACAACACUGCAGUACCAGCUUCGGAAUAAAUUACAUGUCCAUUUAUGUGUGGGUCUGUUUCUAGAUCCUAUAAUAGUCCAUGCUCUAUUUAUCUCUG
rnacentral:lncRNA from 1 species